rnacentral:rRNA from 1 species
AUUGAACGCUGGCGGCAUGCCUUACACAUGCAAGUCGAACGGCAGCAUGGAGAGCUUGCUCUCUGAUGGCGAGUGGCGAACGGGUGAGUAAUGCAUCGGAACGUACCGUGUAGUGGGGGAUAACGUAGCGAAAGUUACGCUAAUACCGCAUACGCACUGAGGUGGAAAGCAGGGGAUCGCAAGACCUUGCGCUAUACGAGCGGCCGAUGUCAGAUUAGCUAGUUGGUAGGGUAAAGGCCUACCAAGGCGACGAUCUGUAGCGGGUCUGAGAGGAUGAUCCGCCACACUGGGACUGAGACACGGCCCAGACUCCUACGGGAGGCAGCAGUGGGGAAUUUUGGACAAUGGGGGCAACCCUGAUCCAGCCAUGCCGCGUGAGUGAAGAAGGCCUUCGGGUUGUAAAGCUCUUUCGGCCGGGAAGAAAUCGCACAGGCUAAUACUCUGUGUGGAUGACGGUACCGGCAUAAGAAGCACCGGCUAACUACGUGCCAGCCGCCGCAGUAA